AUACGGAGGGGACUAGCGUUGUGCGGAAUUACUGGGCGUAAAGCGUACGUAGGCGGAUCAGAAAGUAUGGGGUGAAAUCCCAGGGCUCAUCCCUGGAACUGCCUCAUAAACUCCUGGUCUUGAGUUCGAGAGAGGUGAGUGGAAUUCCGAGUGUAGAGGUGAAAUUCGUAGAUAUUCGGAGGAACACCAGUGGCGAAGGCGGCUCACUGGCUCGAUACUGACGCUGAGGUACGAAAGUGUGGGGAGCAAACAGGAUUAGAAACCCUAGUAGUCC
rnacentral:rRNA from 1 species